rnacentral:rRNA from 1 species
GCCUACGGGGGGCAGCAGUGAGGAAUAUUGGUCAAUGGGCGGGAGCCUGAACCAGCCAAGUCGCGUGAGGGAAGACGGUCCUAUGGAUUGUAAACCUCUUUAGGCGGGGAGCAAUGCCGGGCACGCGUGCCCGGAGGGAGAGUACCCGCAGAAUAAGCAUCGGCUAACUCCGUGCCAACAGCCGCGGUAAUACGGAGGAUGCGAGCGUUAUCCGGAUUUAUUGGGUUUAAAGGGUGCGUAGGCGGAUUUUUAAGUCAGCGGUAAAAUGUCCGGGCUCAACCCCGGCCGGCCGUUGAAACUGGGGG